GUGCUCGCUUCCACAGCACAUACACUGAAAAUUGGAAUGACACAGAGAUGAUUCACAUGGGCCCUGCACGAGGAUGACACGCAAAUCCGUAGAGUGUUCCAUAUUUUU
rnacentral:snRNA from 1 species